UCCUAAACAGCAGUUUUCAUACAUAAUUAGGUGUGACUCUGGCGUUUAGUCAAAUGUUGUGUUUACUCUGCUGUUUUUGUUAAGUUUGUUUCCCAGGUUUUAAACACUAGCUCUGUUAAAUGUGUACACGUUUAUUAAUUGUUAUACUCUUAUCAACUCUAUCAAGGCUGGACACCUCCUCUUGAUUUCCUCCUUCCAAAGCUGUCCAACUGCAUUUGUGAAUAAACAACAUGUGUUGACUAUACUGUACACAACUGCACCUGGGAAAAGAGGGAUCGUGCAAAUGACUUAUCCAGCCAGGGCUGUAGCACCAACAGCCCAUACUAUUAGGACUACUGCAACUGCUAGGGAACCUACAAAACCAACUCUCCCUCCCCCUGCUGUCUGCAAAGCCUCCAGCAUGACUGUAGAACUGCCUUCUGGGUCGCUUCAAGUUCUAUUAUUGAAUCCGUCCAACAAAUGGGAAGAUAUUAAUGAUGCUCCCAGUUACUACAGCUUGGUGCAGCGGAAAGGGCGGAACUACUUUACAAUCUCCUACAGGGCUUUUUCUGUCCACAUACAGGUACGUGCACGUGAGAUGUCCAACAAAGGCCCCUACAACCACUAGUAGGAAGCCAAGAAAGACUACUAGAACCAGUGCUGCGGAAUCAACCAGGAGAGCUAGGAGAAGUGCAAAGGAUGCAACCAAGACGACGCGCAGAGGCUCUGGGGAAGGGACCAAGACUACCUGUAGAGGCUCUGGGGAGGGGACCGGGACGACUAGACCCAUGAUUAGUAAGACAAAGGAGACUAGAACUAGUGCUGGGGAGGUAACAAAGCCCCCUACUUCUGUUGUCUGCAGAGCCUCCAGUAUGGUGGUGGAGUUGCCUAAGGAAUCUCUAAAACAUGUACUGUUUUUUGGUGAGCUAAGCUUUUGUUAGAUAUUGGAGAGGCAUAAUGUCUGACACCUAGGGGUCUUCAUGGCAACUUUCCCUUUUCUUUAUAGAUAAAUCCAACCAGUGGGUAGCUGUCAUUGAUGCUCCAGCGCACUGCAACUACACCUUGUCUCAGGGAAUGGGAAGGAACUACCUCAUAACCCCCUACACAGCCUGUGAUGUCAGGAUACUGUUAAUCCUUUUGAUCAGAUAUCCAGCAUAUUGUGUGAUGCCAAUUUUAAAAGCUUGACAAUCAGUGGGUGUAUUAAUAAUGUUCUUUGUAGAAUAACUGUUUUGAAAAUAUGGUAUUUGACAACUGGUGGAGAAAAAGGGUAUGUGGUGAUGAAAUGUCCCACCAGUGCUGGAGAACCAACAGAGGCCACUGUGCCUACAACCACCACUAGGAAGCCAACAGAACCAGUGCCUAUUGCAAGUACUAUCUGCAGAGCCUCAACCAUGAUGGUGGUGCUCCCUCUGGGACCCCUGGAAGAAGUCUUACUAAUAGGUAGGUUGUGUGUGAUUUCUUUGUUUGAACUGAGGGGAGUUUAAAUGUGUGGUACCAUCUCUUUGUAGAUCAGUCCAAUAAUCUGGUUCCUGUCAAAGAUGCCCCCAAGCACUGCAACUAUAGGAAGGAACAUCUUCAUAACCCCCUACACCACCUGUGAUGUUAAAAUAUUGAAUAAGAAUUAUGUCCUGACCCUACGCUAUACCACCACUGAGGGGGUGUUUGGAUAUGUGGGCAUGAAAUGUCCAACCAGCGCAGCCCUACCAACAGGCUCACCGCGCCCUCCCUUUGGGGUUUCUGUCCUCUGCAGUGAUACUUGCAUGACAGUGGAGCUUCCUGAGGGACUUCUAGAAGAUGUUCAAUUAAUGGAUGAAUCCAGUAACUUGGUAGCUGUUACCAGUGCUCCCAAGACUUGUGGCUACAGUUUGAGGGGAAAAUGGCAAGAACAUCUUGAUGGCUCCUUACAAGGCCUGUAAUGUCAAUCUACUGAACAACUUCUAUAUCCUGCGUCAUUUACACAACUUUACUGGGUUGCGAGGAGAUAUACAGGCCAAAUGUCCUGUUCCUGGUCUAGUACCACGUGAGGGGUGCAAGCUACCAAGAAAUCAGCAGGUUGCUUGUGGUCCACCCAGUGCUGAUCCACAACUAUGUGGCCAAUGGAUGUUGUGUGGAUGCAAGAAAUUCCCAGUGUUACUAUCCUUUGGAUGCAUGCACAGCAGAUGGGCAUUUUGUAUUUGCAGUUUACCGCACCUCAGCCGAGCCAGAUAUAGAUCCUGGUAGUCUUAAUUGCAAGAAACCAAUCCUCUGCCCCUGUAAUCUGCACUCCAGACUUUGCAAUCUUCAAAUUCCCAGUGACUGACUGUGGGACACAUGUCUUUAUGGUGGCAGAGACUACAGUCUAUCUUGCUGAAGUUCAUGGCUUGGUUCGAAGGACCGGGCAGGUGUACGGAGAAAUUACCAGGGGCAGCUCUUACCGUUUCCAGGUGGAAUGUCGCUAUUCUAAAGGAAACUUGGCCAGCACUGGUUACUUGGUGGUGAACCCACCGCCUCCAUCAGCAGCCUUGGCUUUUGGAUCCCUUGGAGUUAGGUUAAUGAUUGCCACAGAUGCCAGCUACACAACUUUCCACCCACUGUCCCAUCUGCCCCUCAGAUUCUUGCUUGGAAGCAAGGUGCAUCUGGAAGUGCAGCUUGUAAACCCCCCUGAACCCAAUGUAGUUCUGCUGGUCCACUACUGCAUCGCCUAUGCCCAGUCCUCUCAAGCUGCCUGGGUGAUCGUCUGUGAAGGAUGAGUAUCCUGCAUCAUUGACAGUGUUAAUCCUGAUUUUUAUCCAUUUUGUAACAAAGCAACAUUUCCAGGGCUUUAUCCAGUAGCUUCUGCCAGACCAAUAACCAAAUUGCUGACCACUUCUCUUUCCUUCUGAAAUCAACCCUUCAGACACUUAUCCACUCACCAGCUACACAAUAACGUUUUGUAUUUGAGAAGUUCAUAUAGUAUUGUAAUUUUAGCAACAGCUUAGGUGACUGGCCCAUUAACCAAUAUUGUUGGCUGCAAACACCUAAUGGAAGUCUCUUUUGCAAGUUGCUAUAACAAAUGCAAGCUUUUUAGGUUAUCUCGGAUAAUCCGUUAUAAUAUGGCUGUCAUAUUAAGUCCUCUCCGCUGAAAAGUGUCUGACUGUCCAUUCUGAAAUACCUACCCCACAGCUGCCCAAACAUCCUGGUUUAUAACAGUGCUGCUGGCCUCCAUGUCAAAUACAAUAACAUGCCUGUAUCCAAGCACACUCGACGCUUUGAAAUGGAAAUCUUCCAGUUCCUGGACUACAAGACCAAGCAGCGUUUGGAUGAGGAAAUCUAUUUCGUGUGUUCAACUGAAGUGUGUUCCCCAGAACACAGUGUUUGUAAUGAAGGAUGCUUUGAUAGGAGAGAGAUGCCUGUUCCAGUAGAUCUUGGUGUGGGAGGGCGCUGUGCAGGAAAGCCCUGUCCUGGGAAAUCAAACAUAGUCAAGCGAGCUGCUCCUGGUCAUACCGGCCUCGUCGCUGUUGGUGUAGGAACCUUCAUUUUGGAUGAGAAUGUGCCCCAUGAACAAAUG